UUACUUCCACAGGCUGGCGGCCCCCAGACUGGACAGGGAGAGUAACUCUUAGAAAGGCUCACCCUUGAGCAUGAGUAGGAGC
rnacentral:pre_miRNA from 1 species